GGGUUGUGAGGUUAAGCGACUAAGCGUACACGGUGGAUGCCCUGGCAGUCAGAGGCGAUGAAGGACGUGCUAAUCUGCGAUAAGCGUCGGUAAGGUGAUAUGAACCGUUAUAACCGGCGAUUUCCGAAUGGGGAAACCCAGUGUGAUUCGUCACACUAUCAUUAACUGAAUCCAUAGGUUAAUGAGGCGAACCGGGGGAACUGAAACAUCUAAGUACCCCGAGGAAAAGAAAUCAACCGAGAUUCCCCCAGUAGCGGCGAGCGAACGGGGAGCAGCCCAGAGCCUGAAUCAGUGUGUGUGUUAGUGGAAGCGUCUGGAAAGGCGCGCGAUACAGGGUGACAGCCCCGUACACAAAAAUGCACAUGCUGUGAGCUCG
rnacentral:rRNA from 1 species